CUUUAUUCUCCGUUGGUUGUGUGAUGUGAAGAUAGAAAUCAUCAUACUAUAAAGAGAUGACUGCAGGACCAAACGAAACGUAGGAGUGGUUUAUGAUUCAGGAGAAAUGAGGCAGAUAGCAGUGGAAAAAAUAAAUGAGUUCAGAAACUGCUCGUCCCGCAUCUUGAAGGACAAAACAAAGCAUCAAUGGCGAGAAGCAGCGCCCCCUCACAUCAAAGGUACGAGCUGCCUUCUUCAGCACCAC